rnacentral:rRNA from 1 species
UGGGGAAUAUUGCACAAUGGGCGCAAGCCUGAUGCAGCCAUGCCGCGUGUGUGGAGAAGGCCUUCGGGUUGUAAAGCACUUUCAGCGAGGAGGAAGGUGGUGAGCUUAAUACGCUCAUCAAUUGACGUUACUCGCAGAAGAAGCACCGGCUAACUCCGUGCCAGCAGCCGCGGUAAUACGGAGGGUGCAAGCGUUAAUCGGAAUUACUGGGCGUAAAGCGCACGCAGGCGGUUUGUUAAGUCAGAUGUGAAAUCCCCGGGCUCAACCUGGGAACUGCAUUUGAAACUGGCAAGCUAGAGUCUCGUAGAGGGGGGUAGAAUUCCAGGUGUAGCGGUGAAAUGCGUAGAGAUCUGGAGGAAUACCGGUGGCGAAGGCGGCCCCCUGGACGAAGACUGACGCUCAGGUGCGAAA